rnacentral:lncRNA from 1 species
CCUGAGGCUAUUUCUAGAACAUUCCAUCCAGCAACUCAGAAGCUCAUAUUUCAAAUCAAACAAAGGACAACUUCUGGUGAAGUAGAAGAAAUCCACACCUUCCUUUCAGCCACAAAAACAAAGGCCAGGAGAGCCAAGAAGUUCCAAAUACUGAAACAUCCUUUCUUAUGUCAUGUCAUAUGAAUGAGCCCUGAUUAAAAC